GUAUAGAGAAGUUACAGCAGUUGGUAACACUGGCCAGAGCUCGUCAAUUGUUUCGCCAGUUUCGCGGCUCCAUCAGAGGAAAUUUUGUAGACCCAGUAACUAAAUUUGAGUGCGAAUGUUGAAAUAAAAAAAAAAUAAUUCAUAAAAGCAUUCGAAAAUGUAAACGAAAAGCGCACGUUUGAAGCACAA
rnacentral:sRNA from 1 species